rnacentral:rRNA from 1 species
GAUGAACGCUAGCUACAGGCUUAACACAUGCAAGUCGAGGGGCAGCAUGGUCUUAGCUUGCUAAGGCCGAUGGCGACCGGCGCACGGGUGAGUAACACGUAUCCAACCUGCCGUCUACUCUUGGACAGCCUUCUGAAAGGAAGAUUAAUACAAGAUGGCAUCAUGAGUCCGCAUGUUCACAUGAUUAAAGGUAUUCCGGUAGACGAUGGGGAUGCGUUCCAUUAGAUAGUAGGCGGGGUAACGGCCCACCUAGUCUUCGAUGGAUAGGGGUUCUGAGAGGAAGGUCCCCCACAUUGGAACUGAGACACGGUCCAAACUCCUACGGGAGGCAGCAGUGAGGAAUAUUGGUCAAUGGGCGAGAGCCUGAACCAGCCAAGUAGCGUGAAGGAUGACUGCCCUAUGGGUUGUAAACUUCUUUUAUAAAGGAAUAAAGUCGGGUAUGCAUACCCGUUUGCAUGUACUUUAUGAAUAAGGAUCGGCUAACUCCGUGCCAGCAGCCGCGGUAAUACGGAGGAUCCGAGCGUUAUCCGGAUUUAUUGGGUUUAAAGGGAGCGUAGAUGGAUGUUUAAGUCAGUUGUGAAAGUUUGCGGCUCAACCGUAAAAUUGCAGUUGAUACUGGAUAUCUUGAGUGCAGUUGAGGCAGGCGGAAUUCGUGGUGUAGCGGUGAAAUGCUUAGAUAUCACGAAGAACUCCGAUUGCGAAGGCAGCCUGCUAAGCUGCAACUGACAUUGAGGCUCGAAAGUGUGGGUAUCAAACAGGAUUAGAUACCCUGGUAGUCCACACGGUAAACGAUGAAUACUCGCUGUUUGCGAUAUACAGCAAGCGGCCAAGCGAAAGCGUUAAGUAUUCCACCUGGGGAGUACGCCGGCAACGGUGAAACUCAAAGGAAUUGACGGGGGCCCGCACAAGCGGAGGAACAUGUGGUUUAAUUCGAUGAUACGCGAGGAACCUUACCCGGGCUUAAAUUGCAGAUGAAUUACGGUGAAAGCCGUAAGCCGCAAGGCAUCUGUGAAGGUGCUGCAUGGUUGUCGUCAGCUCGUGCCGUGAGGUGUCGGCUUAAGUGCCAUAACGAGCGCAACCCUUGUUGUCAGUUACUAACAGGUUCCGCUGAGGACUCUGACAAGACUGCCAUCGUAAGAUGUGAGGAAGGUGGGGAUGACGUCAAAUCAGCACGGCCCUUACGUCCGGGGCUACGCACGUGUUACAAUGGGGGGUACAGAGGGCCGCUACCACGCGAGUGGAUGCCAAUCCCAAAAACCUCUCUCAGUUCGGACUGGAGUCUGCAACCCGACUCCACGAAGCUGGAUUCGCUAGUAAUCGCGCAUCAGCCACGGCGCGGUGAAUACGUUCCCGGGCCU